AACGCAUAUUGCGCCCUUUGGUAUUCCGAAGGGCAUGCCUGUUCGAGCGUCAUUAUCAACCAUCAAGCCUGGCUUGUAGUUGGACCCAUUUGCGACUGAAACAUGUGGUAGGUCCGAAAGAUAAUGACGGUGUCUUGUUUGACCCUAGAUGCAACGAGCUUUUAAACAGCAUGCAUUGAAGUGGUCGGUUGACCCGGUCUUAACCAUCAUUUUCUCAAGGUUGACCUCGGAUCAGGUAGGAAUACCCGCUGAACUUAA
rnacentral:misc_RNA from 1 species